CUCUUUUUAGAGCUGCCUUCGUCUCUCUCUCACUUUGAACCCUGUUUCCAUUUUCCAAUUCCAACAAACUACAGAGCGGGGAGGAUGUGCAAGCCAACGAGUAUGUAUGCAUACGGGAACGAGUCAAUGACCGACCAAGCGUUUGAAAGAAUUUAUGAGAUUUUGGAUGCUAUGACUGCAAAUCUCGGCCAAAAGAGUUAUCAAGAACUGCUGGACUUGAAGAGCGCGUUUGAGACUUUGCUGAGUAAAGUGACGGCAGCGAGGGAGAAAUUUGACCAACCCUAAAAUAUGUUGUCUGCUUUUUUUUUUUUUUAACUACUGUUGUUGUGUUCAUUGGGGUAGAAAUUAAAGUAAAUGCUGUGGUGGAUUCUGACCUAGAGAGAGAGUUGCGUGGAUUUAAAAAGUUAUGUUCCUUGUUUCAAUUUGAACUCUUUCUGCUCUUCUCUUUUAAGUAUAAAAAGUUGCGUUUU